CUACGGGUUGCUGCAGUGGGGAAUAUUGGGCAAUGGGCGAAAGCCUGACCCAGCAACGCCGCGUGAAGGAAGAAGGUUUUCGGAUCGUAAACUUCUAUCCCAGGUGAAGAUAAUGACGGUAGCCUGGAAGGAAGCCCCGGCUAACUACGUGCCAGCAGCCGCGGUAAUACGUAGGGGGCAAGCGUUGUCCGGAAUGAUUGGGCGUAAAGGGCGCGUAGGCGGCCUUCUAAGUCCGAUGUGAAAGUCCUGCUUUUAAGGUGGGAAUUGCAUUGGAAACUGGAGGGCUUGAGUGCAGGAGAGGUAGGUGGAAUUCCCGGUGUAGCGGUGAAAUGCGUAGAGAUCGGGAGGAACACCAGUGGCGAAGGCGACUUACUGGACUGUAACUGACGCUGAGGCGCGAAAGUGUGGGGAGCAAACAGGAUUAGAUACCCUAGUAGUC
rnacentral:rRNA from 1 species